rnacentral:rRNA from 1 species
UACGAAGGGGACUAGCGUUGUUCGGAAUUACUGGGCGUAAAGGGCGCGUAGGCGGCCUUCUAAGUCGAACGUGAAAUCCCCGGGCUCAACCCGGGAACUGCGUCCGAUACUGGAAGGCUUGAAUCCGGGAGAGGGAUGCGGAAUUCCAGGUGUAGCGGUGAAAUGCGUAGAUAUCUGGAGGAACACCGGUGGCGAAGGCGGCAUCCUGGACCGGUAUUGACGCUGAGGCGCGAAAGCCAGGGGAGCAAACGGG